rnacentral:lncRNA from 1 species
UUACAUAAUUUGACCAAGCUUACUGUGUUAAUACUAUGGGGAAACAAACUUUCUGGGUUAAUUCCACAAAAAAUAGAUUACCUUUCAAAUUUACAGUACCUGAGUCUUGGUGAAAACAUACUCUCGGGUUCCAUCCCAAAUAGCAUAGGAAAUUUGACCAAACUCACAACCUUGUCCCUUCGCAACAACCAACUUUCUGGGUUAAUUCCACAAAAAAUAGAUUACCUUUCAAAUUUAGAGUACCUGAGUCUUGGUGAAAACAUACUCUCGGGUUCCAUCCCAAAUAGCAUAGGAAAUUUGACCAAACUCACAACCUUGUCCCUUCGCAACAACCAACUUUCUGGGUUAAUUCCACAAGAAUUGGAGUACCUUGCAAGCUUAGAGUACCUAGAUCUUAGUGAAAACAUACUC